rnacentral:lncRNA from 1 species
GCUUUCUUUCCCGCAGAAACUGGAUCGCAGUAGCUCAUGAAUGAUGGUCUCAAAGAUUCUUCUCAGAGUGAAAGAGACAGAGUUCUGGGAAGAUUAGGACAUUUUAGAAAAUCUCUUCUCCCUCCUAAUCAUGAGCACCACCAAUGCCAUCAUUUCCAUAAUCAUCUUUAGAAUUAUCUGAAGUGGAAAGGGAGCAACAGACCUGUCUAAUGAAUAGGUGGGAAAAAAUAGAACCAGCUGAUCCGUGAUUGGGUGGCCCACUGCGUGCGGUCAGGGGGAACCCGAAGGUUGGACCUGCACCCAUUCUCCAGCUUGGACUCCCUCUCAUCUUGCUCGGCUCCUGCCCCGCUGCAGACACAAGACAGUCUCAACAUCCUACCUUGGUGCCUACGCAGAGAACACUGCACUCCAUCUCAGGCUCGUCUUGCUAUCCCCCCUUCUAAACUUUCAGAGGCAUACAUCUGAGCCUCUCUUGGAGUUUUUGUGUUUUGCUCCUUUAUAUUUGAUACCUAUGAUAUCUUGUCACAUGCUGCAUAAUGAAGUGUUCGUCCAUGAGACACCACAUAGAAUGAUGGACCCCUAAGAUUGUGAUGAAGCUGAAGAAUUCCUGUCACCUAGUGAUUUGGUGAUCGUGGUGACAUCACAACACCACACUCCUAUGCUUGUGAUGAUGCCGGUGUGGACAAACCUACUGAGCUGCUGGGCAUAUGAAGACAGCACGAUACAACUACGUGCAGCACCUGAUGCUCCAUCAUGGACCUCUGCAUCUCUGGCUCGUGCUGUGCCUUCUUGGUGCUUUGGAGAGUACUCCUGCUUGCAAAGAGAGGCUCCCUGGGACGCCGUUGCUUUACCUACACUGUCGGGAGUCGCCACAUGCAUCUUGUGUUCUCCGCGUCUUCUUGACUUCAUCGUCAUCUCUGUGCCUGCUUUAAUGUGUGUUGUUGAGCUCAACAUGGGCCUGGGAGCAACAGGCCAUGCCAUGCAUGCCACAUGGCCUAGGCUUGCAGGAGCUGUUCCAUCCAGGUUCAUGUCACCACGCUCAGUGGCAUUCCUGCCUAACUGAGCACUUCUCAGAACAGUCCCAUCAUUAAGCGAUGUGUGACUGCAUGGAGGGGCAGAUCCCCUCCCACUGGACUAUAAAUUUGAGGUUAGCCAUAUUCUCCCUCAUCCCCGACUCCAGCCACCAAGCAGGUGCUUUUGAUUGAGCAAGUACCUCCAUAAGCACCUGUCGAAAGAACCAGGAACCGGAAGUUUGGUUCCAUUGCUUCUAGGACCUGUGUUGACAAGAACACAUUUGGGGGAACAAUACCAGGUUGGCAGAGCAGCUGUGAUUUCCCAGACACCUUACCAAGUCUCCUGGGCACAUGGGCAAAUGACAUUUAUUUGCCUGUUUCCUGAUUAAAAGACCCUAUGACUGUUUACUUUCCUUGGCCAGAAACCAGUUAGCAUGAGACUCCAUCCUCUUUCCCACCAGCUGGCGGGGUGCAGAUAAGCAUGGUGGCCUUGGAAACUGCAUCUGAGGGUUGACGCAGCACAGAUGGGCAGAGCCCAGGCCCUCGAAUCAGCACAUGGAAGGAAGCCACCUCCCAACCACCAACACCGUCUGGGGAUUUUUGUGGGUAAGAAAUAAACAUCUGCCGUGUUUGAGCCAUUUUCAGAGUUUGGGGUUCACGUUGUAGCAGCAUGGGUUGCUUUAAUAUCUUUUAAUAUUGCCAGAAAAAAACCCACAAAACUUUGAUUCUUUGUUUUGUCAAGCCACAGAUUCUUUUCCAUUUCAAGCACUUUUGAGUUUCCAUAUUGGUUAUGGAGUUUUAGAGACCAUUCCCACUUUCAAAAACACCCUCACUCGGCAAAGGCCCCACUCAGUGAAGGGUGUGUGAAAGAUUCUGGUUGUCCUUUCUAGGAACUCUCAUGCUGAGACAUUAUUCUAGUUCCAAUAGCAAACACAGAGGAGUCCUGCAGCGCCAGACAGAGGAGGAUAUGGAGAUAGGUGAGAAAUCACAGUAUGAAAUUCUGUCUUAAAGAUCAUAAAAUCUGCUGGGCAUGGUGGCACAUGCCUAUAAUCCCAGCAGCUAGGGAGGCUGAAGUAGGAGGAUUGCAAGUUGGAGGCCAGCCUCAGCAACUUAGCAAAGCUGUAAGCAAUUUAGCAAGACCAUCUCAAUAUAAAAAAUGUUUUAAAAAGGGCUGGGGAUAUAGCUCAAUGUUAACAUGCCCUGGGGUCAAUAUUCAGUACGAAAAAAAAAAAAGAUCAUAAAAUCCAACUCUGUUUGGUAUUCACUUACAAAACAAACUUCCAGUGUUCUGAGAUUUCUGGGGAAGGGAGGUGCCCCUGAAUCUGUGCCCCUGAAUCAGGUGCCCCUGAAUCUGUGAAAGCCACUUGCCCUUCAGGGGCUCUUGCUGCACCACCUGCUCUGUGUAAUUAUCCCAGGAAACACAAACUGAGUGGCUUCCUAUUGCACAGAAUGCAGUCUAAAUGCUCUAGUCUGAAAUCUAAGGCCUUCCACUAUAUGAUCUCCACUUUUGUUUCCAACCAAAUAUUGUUUUACUUUGUCCUAUUUAUAUUCUUUUUUUCAGGGGUGGGGGAAGACAGGUAUUCCACCACUACCAACCACCACUAUAUAUAUAUCUCCAGGCAUAUAAACAUACAAUAUGUGCAUGUGUUAUAAUAUCUAUCACAUAUUAUAUUUAAUGUGUCAUCUAUGACCUUAGGACAGACAAGGUUAUACUACAGUGAUAAGUGGAGCCUAAACUCCAAGUGAUUUAACAAAUGACACACUCAUAGUUUGCUUCCGCUAUGUCUUUCUCAUGGGGUUGUGUGUCUUUGGUGGGGGAUGUGUCUGUGCUCCACUCAGGUACCCAGGGUGAUGGCCAUUGUGCUCCAUCUAGGACAGGCAACCUUCUCCUUGACUGCAGCAGGAGAGAGAGAAACCAAGUGCCCUCAUACUUUCACACACAUUCCAUUGACCAGAACUGGUCUCGGACCCUGUCUAAUUCCAAAGGAGUGGGAAAGCAGGUGAAGCAAAUGUCGUAUUUACUGAAUGUCAUUCUCCUUGCCACUGUGGUCUUCCAAGACGUUUUCCCAGUUCUCUCCAGCUGCAACCAAUAUUUUUCUGACAGUGUUCAAUGUGCCUGUCCUUUGUAACGGGCAUUUCCCACAUCAUAUGGAGAAUGUAGGUGUGCAUACGACAUCCAUGACUCAUCUCCACAGAAAUCACUACAUGCCAGACGCUCUCCUGGUUACAUCUGUCAACACGUUAAACCUCAUAAUCCUCUGAGGUUCCUACUUUUGAUGUGUCCAAGGUGAAGACGAGGACAUGAGAGGACCUCCCACCGCCAGUUGGUUCCACAGUCCAUGUUGAACCACUGUGUUAUGUUGUGGCUUCUUUUUUAACUUCCUUAUUAGCAAAGACUAAAAUGUAAAACUGAUUCAUUUCUUUAUUUCUCAUGACACCAAAUACCAUUUUAGGCACUCAGUGGAUUUUCUGGAAGGCAGAGUACAUAAUUAGUGCCUUUUCUAAUAAAGAUUUUCAACAGACCUGAUCUGUUAGUAGUUUUCCUCCUGGCUUUGCCAGAUUGCUGCCGUCAUCCAGGGAACCGUUGUAGGAGAUGCCACUGUGUCUCCUUAAAAAGCCACAGGUCUUCACAGGAAGUACAAGGGGGUCUUUGGGGAUUUAUAGGGGACAGCCAGACAGAAGGCAGCAAAGCAAAGGUGAGACACGCAGGAAAAGACUCCAGCCACUUGGUUUCUAUUGUGUUUGAUUUUGUGCUUAAGAGACUGUUAAAUUGAAGUAGGGAAGUGUGGCUGCUGAGUCUGUUUGGUCUCCUUUUGAGUUCCCCAACUCCAGAAAUAAAUCCAGCUCCCCAGAGAGGACUUUCCUUUGCUUAACUGUGGAUUCCUGGUAAGCUGUAAUCCCCUUCCACUGGCCGGGAGCCUUCUACAGACUAAAUUUAGAAAAAUUAAAUUACAGCCCAGCAGUGUGGCUCCCCAAAAUGAAACCUAUAGUACAGAAAACCUGAAACCAGGGAAGGGCUGCGCAGAGGGGGGCGUCGGGGACCUGGCGAUCAGCCUCACCAUCUCCCAUUGGAAAGUUCCUGCUCGUUUGCAGAGAAGAGGGGACUGUAGGAGCCAAUUUAGAACCAUCCACACGAUGAUCGAUGAUGGGGAGAGGAGCCUUGUGCUAAUUAGGCCUCCGAGUUCCAACCAGGCAUGAAGAAAGCACAGUCAACCUGGUCCAGACACAGGCGCCCCCAGCGCAGCGCCCAACUGCGCAUUGCCAGGGCCGGUGACUCAGGAAGGAAAAGUACCGGGAAACCAUCUCCUGCGAUGACUCACCACGGGGCAGUCCUGUGCUGUCCUGAUGGAAAACUGGUGGGAUCUCGCGGAUUCAUAAGGACCUGGCAGCCCCUGCUAGGACUUGUACCCACUUAAGUGGGAGGGGUGGGCGGCUCUAAUCCAGACUGGGAAGAAAGGGGACUAAAUGGCACUCUGUCAUGCAACUACCCACGGCAUGGCUCUGUGCCCCAGAGAAUGGCAAAGAUGCUCAAGCCAUCUUAAAGGGCAUGGCAGGUCGUGAAUCAAAGUAUUCUCUGGAUUUUUUUUUUGUUUAAUGCCUGGCAAGUUUUCCUAGUAACCAAGAGAGACCUCAGAUUUAGAUGACAAAUAGUGGGGUUGGAGUUUUGUUCCCCAGGGCUGGAUGUGUGCUUGGCUGCAUGAGACCUUGGGUUCAAUCUCCAGGGCCAAAAAAAUAUGAAAUAAAUGCAUAUUUUGAAAAGGAAAAGGAAAAUGUAUUGGAUGUUAGGAUUUAAAAGAAAAUGCUUUUGAUAUGAUUUUUGUGUGUGUGUGUGGAAAAGUGAGGCUCGUGUGUCCGUUGACAUUUGUAGUAGAUUGAUUCAACAAAUAUUUAUUGAGUUCUGAAAGUGACCAGAUAUUGUUCUAAGCAUUGGGAAUAGUGUGGUGAACAAAACAAAAUCCUUUUCCUCACAGAAUUUAUAAUCGAGAGGGAGAAACUGAUAAUAAGUGGUAGACAAAGCAAUAAUGCUGUGAUUUCUUUUCUUUCUUUCUUUGUAUGUGUGUGUGUAUGUGUGUGUUUUCUGGGAACGGAACCCAGGGAUGCUUUACCAUUGAGCUAUAUUCCCAGUCCUUUUUGCUUUUUUUUACAGGGUCUCGCUAAGUUGCUUGGGGCCUCACAAAUUUUAUGAGGCUGGCCUCUGAUUUGGGAUCCUCAUGCCUCAGCCUCAAGUCAAGAAACUGGUGAAAGAAGGAAGGAAGGAAGAAAGGGAGGGAGGAAGGGAGGAAGGAAGGAAGGAAGGAAAGAAAGAAGGAAGAAAGAAACUGGUUUUAUAGGAAUGUACCACUGCCCCUGACUAAUUGUGUAAUUUCUUAUUGAGAUAAUUGUUAUGAAGAAAAAUAAAUAGAAGGAGAAGUUAGAGGGCAUUUUAGUUGUCUAUUGUCAUCUAACCAACUAGCCCAAGAUUUAUUUGCUUUAAACAAUGAUUUAUCAUUUUUCAUGAUUGUGUAGGUCAGAAACUUGGAAAGGGCUCAGCUGGAUGGUUCUUCUGCUAUAUGUGACAUCAACUGGGAUCAAGCACCUGACCUAUUCAGUCAGCACUGGACAAGACUGAAAGGUCUAAGAAGUCAUUUAUGUCUGCUUGAGAUCUCAGAAUCCCCUCUGUAUGUACUCAGUGUCUCUCUGUGUUGUCUCACCACUUGGUAAUUUAGCUUGCUCUUGCAUGGUAACUGGCAUCCCUACAGAAAACAUCCCUAAGGGCAAGCUGCCAGGCCUCCUAAAAGUCAGUCUUAUAUCUGACACACUGCUACCUUCUCUGCAUUUUACCAUCAGAGCAGGCCACAAGAUCAGCCCAGAUUCAAUGUUGGAAAAAUAGACUCACCUUCCAGUGGGCAGAACUGAUUGCAGCCAUUGUUGGAAACAAUCAACUGCAGAGAAUGAAGUGAGGAGUUGGACCGUGGCAAAGGUAGAAAGGGGCCAUUUCACACUCUAGACAGAGGGAGCCACUAGGACAAGGCCUUGAGAUGGGACACACUCAGUGUUGAGGAUUGAUUACAAAAAAAAAAAAAAAAAAAUCAAAGAGGUCAAAGAUAUAUGGUGACUGUGCUAAAGAGGAAGGAGCAAUAGGGUAAGUCACUACAAAUGGGAUCAGGGCCCUUCUAAGAGGCCUGAACAGCUGACAGAGACAGAGUGUCGGUGAGAUGAUCAGGAGCCUUGGAGUCAGGGUUAGGUCUUCAUAUUUUAUUCCAAAUGUGAUGAGAUGCUUUCUUAGGAGAGCAGCGUGAAAUAGCUCAUGUGUCAGAGGGAGCACUCUGGCUGUUCUGUGGAGAAUGGAUCAGAGGAAAGAACUGAAGGAAGGAGGGAGACCAGCGUGGGGCUCCUGCCAUCAUCCUGGUGAGAGGUGUUGGUGACUUAGAGAGAUGCAGCAAGUGGCCAGAUUCUGGGUUUGGGAUUUUGAAAUUACAGCUGGCAAGGCCUGCCAACAGAGUGGAUGGAAAUGGGAGAGAAAGGAUGAAUCAAAGCUGAUUUUUAGAUUUUUGAGGCUAGAUGACUAUCAUUUAGUGGAAUAAAAAAGACAUAGGAGAAAAAGAUUUAAGGUAAGGAGUAAUGAAAAUAAAGAGUUAUGCUUCAGAUCAAGUUCAGAGAGAGAUUAUCAGAAAUCACACUGGAGCUUUUAAUUGAGCAAACUUCUAUGGUCUGCAUGGUUGUGUCACCCCAAACUUCAUGAGCUGAAACCUGAAACCUGCUCCCCAGGGUGAAGACAUUAAGGGGUGGCCUUGAGAGAUAAUUAGGUUGAGGGCAGAGCCAUCAGAAAUGGGCUCAGUGCCCUUCUACGGACACCCAAGGAGUUUGUUUGCCUCUUCCACCCUGUGAAGACCCAGCGUGAAGAUGCCAUCCACAAAUCAGAAAGCAAGCCUCCCUACACACUCAGCCAGCUGGGCCUUGAUCUUGGACUUCCAGCCUCUAAAACUGAGAGCAAUAAAUUUUCUGUUGUUUGUAAGCUUCCUA